UUGACCUCAAAUCAGGUAAGAUUACCCGCUGAACUUAA
rnacentral:rRNA from 1 species